rnacentral:rRNA from 1 species
AUGAACGCUGGCGGCGUGCCUAAUACAUGCAAGUCGAGCGAACAGACGAGGAGCUUGCUCCUCUGACGUUAGCGGCGGACGGGUGAGUAACACGUGGAUAACCUACCUAUAAGACUGGGAUAACUUCGGGAAACCGGAGCUAAUACCGGAUAAUAUAUUGAACCGCAUGGUUCAAUAGUGAAAGACGGUUUUGCUGUCACUUAUAGAUGGAUCCGCGCCGCAUUAGCUAGUUGGUAAGGUAACGGCUUACCAAGGCAACGAUGCGUAGCCGACCUGAGAGGGUGAUCGGCCACACUGGAACUGAGACACGGUCCAGACUCCUACGGGAGGCAGCAGUAGGGAAUCUUCCGCAAUGGGUGAAAGCCUGACGGAGCAACGCCGCGUGAGUGAUGAAGGUCUUCGGAUCGUAAAACUCUGUUAUUAGGGAAGAACAAAUGUGUAAGUAACUAUGCACGUCUUGACGGUACCUAAUCAGAAAGCCACGGCUAACUACGCG